AUACGAAGGGGGCUAGCGUUGCUCGGAAUUACUGGGCGUAAAGGGCGCGUAGGCGGACAUUUUAGUCAGAGGUGAAAGCCCAGGGCUCAACCUUGGAAUAGCCUUUGAUACUGACUGUCUUGAGUACGGGAGAGGUGUGUGGAACUCCGAGUGUAGAGGUGAAAUUCGUAGAUAUUCGGAAGAACACCAGUGGCGAAGGCGACACACUGGCCCGUUACUGACGCUGAGGCGCGAAAGCGUGGGGAGC
rnacentral:rRNA from 1 species